UCCAAAAAUCCUCCUCGUCUUUCCAAUUUCCCAAUCUCUCUCUUCCUUUCUUCCCAAACUCCCAUCGUUCGUUCCAGUCAUGCCGACGAACCUCUCCCUUCCUCCUUCUACCUGUUCUAAUCUGUCUUUCUCGAAGUUUAACAGCAUACAUCCUCACCUCUACUAGAAUAAAUCGGCAGUAAAGCAGAGAAUUGUGGUGGAGUUUGAGAGCAGAUGGUGGUACCCUAGAGUUCUAUAUAUUCACCAGAGAUGACCAGUGGGAUGCUGCUUGUGGAUUUCUCAGUAUCUGAUCUCAUCAAUUUUUUGGGUUUUCUUUUAUAGUGGUGCUGCAAUUGGACAUUUCUUUGGUUCUUUUCCCUGACACGUUUGUCUCAUCAAUUUAUUGGAAAUGGUUCAGAAUUCCAUGUUCAAGAUGGAAAAAAACUACUUGAUUACGUGGCUGAACAUAUUCAAUGGGCGAGUUUGUGAAUUCUCAUUAUUUAGAAUUGACCAUUCUUAAUGAUUGUUUCUCAACCAUAUACUUUUUAUUUGCUUUAAUCUGAAUCAGAUAGAGUUGUCAUGGUCUUAGUUUUAUCUGUCAUUUGGUAUGGUUAGUGGAGAUGGUUUGUUUGACCUUCAAGAGUGUUUAAAGAAGUCCUAUGUUUUUUAUAAAGUCGCUAUGUAUUUCCACUAUAAUUUGUAAAUUAGUUGUUAAAUAUAUGGUCAGUGUUUUAUAUCUUGUUGUAGCGAUUGGUUGGUUUUUUUAUGAAUGUCUCAUGGAGUUUGUGCCAUGACCAAACAUAUGUAGUUGACCACCUUGCUUAUGAAAGAGAGUGGUGUUUGCUACAUAUAAAGUAAAAGAACCUUUUGAGCAUCCAAAGAGGUUUUGAUUUUUUAAUGAUAGAACAAGGAUUUGCUUAAUAUGAAUUAACAAUUCUAUGCUGUACCAGAGCUUGAACAACAUCUUCCUUAAAUUGAUGACUUGAAAUUCUGUCUAGGGAUUUUAUUAGCUAGAGACUAUGCAAGAGCUCUUGCAUGAAAUUUCAUUUGUGUUAAGAUUGGUAAAAUCACGUAGGACACUACAAAUUUGACUACAUUUAUGGCACAUAUCUUAUCCAAUUACUGUUUCAAUAUUUGUAGAAAUUUUACACUGUCUUUAAAUUGUUUUUCAGUAGUCUAUGAUGCAAGAGGAGGAUUCCUAAAACUGAUGUAAAUUACAGCUCCAGUAGCUAUUAGCUGUUGAGGAGUUAGGUCUAUCUUUGCAAAUGCUAAUAUCAUCAAAGAAUGGAAGCAAGAGGUAGAGCAAUACCAAAGAAAAAUUCAGUUAUGUAUGAAGCCAACACUUGCGUAUGGUUUAGUGGUUAUUUUAUCUUCUUGGCAG